GCUAAACGCGAAGAACCUUACCAAGGCUUGACAUACACCAGAAUACCGUAGAGAUACGGGGCUCUUUGGACACUGGUGAACAGGUGGUGCAUGGUUGUCGUCAGCUCGUGUCGUGAGAUGUUGGGUUAAGUCCCGCAACGAGCGCAACCCUCGUUCUAUGUUGCCAGCACGUAAUGGUGGGAACUCAUGGGAUACUGCCGGGGUCAACUCGGAGGAAGGUGGGGAUGACGUCAAAUCAUCAUGCCCCUUAUGUCUUGGGCUUCACGCAUGCUACAAUGGCCGGUACAAAGGGCUGCAAUACCGUGAGGUGGAGCGAAUCCCAAAAAGCCGGUCCCAGUUCGGAUUGAGGUCUGCAACUCGACCUCAUGAAGUCGGAGUCGCUAGUAAUCGCAGAUCAGCAUUGCCGCGGUGAAUACGUUCCCGGGUCUUGUACACACCG
rnacentral:rRNA from 1 species